UACAGAGGUCCCAAGCGUUGUUCGGAUUCAUUGGGCGUAAAGGGUGCGUAGGCGGCGCGGUAAGUCGGGUGUGAAAUCUCGGAGCUUAACUCCGAAACUGCAUUCGAUACUGCCGUGCUUGAGGACUGGAGAGGAGACUGGAAUUUACGGUGUAGCGGUGAAAUGCGUAGAUAUCGUAAGGAAGACCAGUGGCGAAGGCGGGUCUCUGGACAGUUCCUGACACUGAGACACGAAGGCCAGGGGAGCGAACGGG
rnacentral:rRNA from 1 species